CACAAGCACCACCUGGGAACCCUUAUCCUGACCUUUAACUCAGCCUCAUGUGGAUCCUGUAUGAUUGGGCUCCCACAGUGAACCGACUCUGGGCACGCUGGUUUUCUCAGCUCCUAUCAGAGGCCCACUGAUGUCUGCCUGCAGACGGGCCUCAUCCACCUGCAUCCCUUGGUCACCCGUGAUCCUGGACCAGAGGAGCUGGAAGUUUCAGGGUGGCUCCUUCCCAUCCCUGGAGGAAGAAGUCAGAUGUCCUGGGAAAUCAUCAGUGAAAAUGCUUUGGACAGGAGAGGAAGGACCUUCAGAAGCCAGUAGCCUAUCCAGGAGCCGAAAGAACAGAAGCACUCUGGGUGUGUCCCGGCCUCCUGACUCGUGACUGCUGCGCGGGGGUCCAGAAUCAUGGAUCUUACAGGGGCUCAUCCUUUGUCGUGAGCCUUGUUCUCACGGCCUGCCUGAAGUCCGACGCCCAGAGGCUGGCGGAAGCUGCUGGGUCCACGGCUGCCGAAGGAGGAGCUGGAACGUGAACGCCGGCAGAACUUUGCCCAUGUCUGAGAUUUCUAGAACCUUCUUCCCCCUGCAGGCUUUUGUGCCUUCUGCCCCUUUUGCCUCCCGGCCCUUUGUUUAGUGACUUCCUGCCGGUCCUCGGGUGACCCUUGGACACACUGGGGUGCGCCCCCUGCCGGGGCUGGGACCCUUUUCUGCCUUCCCCAGCCUGUUCUCCGUACCCUAGACUGCGGAGUCUUGGGGCUCGUCACCUCUGUGUCCCCCAACACCAUGCACAGUGGCUCCCCCAGAGCAAGCACUCUAUAAUUUAUUCACUUAAUGAGCAUUUCUGGAUUUAGGGAGUAAUGUGGCUCAGCUGGUAAAGAAUCUGCCUGCAAUGCGGGAGAAGGGAAAGGCUACCCACUCCAGUAGUCUGGCCUGGAGAAUUCCAGGGACUGUAUAGUCCAUGAGGUUGCGAAGAGUCAGACACGACUGAGUGACUUUCACUUUCACACUUUGGCAGUAAAAUCCUUACCCUCCAAAGGGCCUGUGUGCUUGACUUUGGGGGCCUGUGACUUCCUGGGCAGCCAGGGCUGAAGAAGGGACUCUGGGGUAACUGGCACCCCUUGAGCCUCCUCAGCCCAUAAGCAGACACGGGUUCUCGUACCCCUGGGAUGACCCCAGAAGGCCCACAUGGCUUACAUCUUCUGCCCCACUCCGCUGGCUCCGCUGGGCUGGCGGGGCUCGCCCUUGGUCUGAGUUAGCAUUAGGGAAUAGUCUGGUGCUCUGGAGGGCUGGAAUCCCUCCUGAUGGGCAUCUUGGGGGCACAGCUGGGUAUCCCAUGAUGGCCACUGCUCACCUGGGCUUUGGGGAGGGCCCGCCUCUGCUU
ensembl:lncRNA